UUGCAACCAUGGGGAGGAAGAUCAAGAGAACCAUAAGAAGUCAACCCAGAGGUUGCUGAGCUACUGAAAGUUGCUACUAAUUUCUUACAGCAAUUUACAAAUGCCCUACUACUCUAAGAACCAUUGAAAUCACAGUUGGGAACCUCAAUAAUUUCACCAAGGCAGAAGCUAUUAAAUGCAAACAUUGGCAAAAGUUUUUAAUGCUGCAGAAUAUCAUGAAAAAUGCCAAGAUCCAGGACACAUCCCAGUGCUGCUAGAGCCAACACGUCAUCUCAUUACUGGCUGAAUGAGAGAAGAACACAAGAGGUCUGCAUU